CUCACCUUUCACACGGGGUCAGGCGCCACGAGCAGCUCGCGAAGGCGCCGCCGCCGUGGCCGUUCCCCGCCCCCGCCACGGCACUUGCUCGGGUGGCCGCUGCAGGAAGCUCAACAGCGGCGCCGCGGCGCUUCCAGGCUUCCAACAAUCCUUCAUACUAUUAGUGGUGGGCACUGAAAUGCACUUCUCAGGUCCCUUUCAGGGAUGAAGGACUUAUUACACACGCAGCUGGGAGAGUUGCCCACGGACAGUCAUCAGCUGUCAGCCCCAUUCUGGCAUUACCCAGUGUCACACCCCUUCCCAAGGAGGCCACACCCAAUGACUGAUGGAUUCAGAGCCAUUAACAGUAUCCAUCACAGGAAUGUUGGAAUGCCCAGCCCUUUCACUUCAACUCAGGAUAAUUCUGAUGGAUCAUUCCCAUCUCCAGAACAACCUGUAUCAGCUGAGGAUCACAGAAUACCGAAGAUGGAAUAAACUUCAAGGUCAUCUAAUUCAGCGGUUUGUACAAUAUUUCCCAAAGCACUGGCAUUCCUUUUACAAACACAAUCUUACAUCAGAAUCCAAUACUUAACCCAAAUAAAAGAUGACCUGGGAAUUCACAAACACUGACAUCUCCCUCAGUCUCUUACCAUGGCAUGUAUGACACUGCCUCAAAACAUGUUUAGAAAACAAUUGAUGUAGUUUUUUCAUUCAUUCUUUCAAUAAACAUGCCAGGAUCUAUACAAAGUGCUGGAGAUAUAAUAGUGAACAAAGCAAGCAUAGACUCAACUCUUAACCAAGGCUGCAGUUUCAGGAGGGAGGCUGAUAUUCAAGUAAUAAGUGUACAAAUACUGCACACAUAAAUUC